rnacentral:rRNA from 1 species
CCUACGUGAGGCAGCAGUGAGGAAUCUUGGUCAAUGGACGAGAGUCUGAACCAGCCAAGUAGCGUGAAGGAUGACUGCCCUAUGGGUUGUAAACUUCUUUUAUAUGGGAAUAAAACGUUCCACGUGUGGGAUUUUGUAUGUACCAUAUGAAUAAGGAUAGGCUAACUCCGUGCCAGCAGCCGCGGUACUACGGAGGGUCCGCGCGUUAUCCGGAUUUAUUGGUUUUAAAGGGAGCGUAGGUGGAUUGUUAAGUCAGUUGUGAAAGUUUGCGGCUCAACCGUAAAAUUGCAGUUGAAACUGGCAGUCUUGAGGACAGUAGAGGUAGGCGGAAUGCGUGGUGUAGCGGUGAAAUGCUUAGAUAUCACGAAGAACUCCGAUUGCGAAGGCAGUUCACUGGACUGCAACUGACACUGAGGCUCGAAAGUGUGGGUAUCAAACAGGAUUAGAUACCCGUGUAGUC